ACUUUCAGCGACGGAUGUCUUGGCUCCCACAACGAUGAAGAACGCAGCGAAAUGCGAUACUUCUUGCGACUUGCAGAAUCCAGUGAAUCAUCAAAACUUUGAACGCAUCUUGCGCUUCCGGGAUACUCCUGGGAGCAUGCUUGUCGGAGUGUC
rnacentral:rRNA from 1 species